GCGCAGGUGGCGCAGUCGGUAGCGCAUCUGACUGUCAAGCAGACCGACCCUCAGGUUCGAACCCGCAUGGUGCC